rnacentral:misc_RNA from 1 species
UCCGGUUUGUCACCGGCAGUCUGGCGUGAGUCCCCAACUUAAUGAUGGCAACACGCCACAAGGGUUGCGCUCGUUGAUGGACUUAACCAAACAUCUCACGACACGAGCUGACGACGGCCAUGCAUCACCUGUCACCGAAUUCCUUACGGCACAAUUUCCUUUCGGAAACCUUCUCGGGAUGUCAAGCCUGGGUAAGGUUCUUCGCUUACCAUCGAAUUAAACAACACGCUCCACCGCUUGUGCGGGUCCCCGUCAAUUCCUUUAUGUUUUAGUCUUGCGACCGUACUCCACAGGCGGGAUGCUUAACGCGUUAGCUUCGCUACAAGCCGGGUCGAUACGGCUUACAGCUAGCACCCAUAGUUUACAGCGUGGACUAC